GAAGAAUUAGUUAAACAUAACAUUACCUUGUCAAGGUAGAAUUACUAGUUAAACCCUUGUAUUCUUCU
rnacentral:tRNA from 1 species